rnacentral:rRNA from 1 species
UACAGGGGGGGGCAAGCGUUGUUCGGAAUCACUGGGCUUAAAGGGCAUGUAGGCGGGCGAGUAAGCGCUUUGUGAAAUCCCCCGGCUCAACCGGGGAACCGCUUGGCGAACUGCUCGUCUGGAGGGAGGCAGGGGCGACCGGAACCCUGGGUGGAGCGGUGAAAUGCGUAGAUAUCCAGGGGAACGCCGGAGGAGAAAUCGGGUCGCUGGGCCUUUCCUGACGCUGAGGUGCGAAAGCCAGGGGAGCGAACGGG